rfam:Candidate division WWE3 bacterium RIFCSPLOWO2_02_FTLL_53_10 rifcsplowo2_02_scaffold_75936, whole genome shotgun sequence.
UCAGGUAUAUUGAAGUGUCCGAAGACAGUGGGGGUCGCAAGACUUAAUCAUCCCACCGAGGAAUAGCUAAGUUACUUAGUUGAUUAAAUUCCUCGGGACAGCCGAGGUUUUUUAUUGCGAUG